rnacentral:rRNA from 1 species
AAUAGAUACCCUGGUAGUCCACGCCGUAAACGAUGGGUGCUAAGUGUUAGAGGGUUUCCGCCCUUUAGUGCUGAAGUUAACGCAUUAAGCACUCCGCCUGGGGAGUACGGCCGCAAGGCUGAAACUCAAAGGAAUUGACGGGGGCCCGCACAAGCGGUGGAGCAUGUGGUUUAAUUCGAAGCAACGCGAAGAACCUUACCAGGUCUUGACAUCCUCUGACAACCCUAGAGAUAGGGCUUCUCCUUCGGGAGCAGAGUGACAGGUGGUGCAUGGUUGUCGUCAGCUCGUGUCGUGAGAUGUUGGGUUAAGUCCCGCAACGAGCGCAACCCUUGAUCUUAGUUGCCAUCAUUAAGUUGGGCACUCUAAGGUGACUGCCGGUGACAAACCGGAGGAAGGUGGGGAUGACGUCAAAUCAUCAUGCCCCUUAUGACCUGGGCUACACACGUGCUACAAUGGACGGUACAAAGAGCUGCAAGACCGCGAGGUGGAGCUAAUCUCAUAAAACCGUUCUCAGUUCGGAUUGUAGG